GAUGAACGCUAGCUACAGGCUUAACACAUGCAAGUCGAGGGGCAGCAUGUCGGUUGCUUGCAACCGAUGAUGGCGACCGGCGCACGGGUGAGUAACGCGUAUCCAACCUACCCUUGUCCAUCGGAUAACCCGUCGAAAGGCGGCCUAACACGAUAUGCGGUUCACAGCAGGCAUCUAACGUGAACGAAAUGUGAAGGAGAAGGAUGGGGAUGCGUCUGAUUAGCUUGUUGGCGGGGUAACGGCCCACCAAGGCGACGAUCAGUAGGGGUUCUGAGAGGAAGGUCCCCCCACAUUGGAACUGAGACACGGUCCAAACUCCUACGGGAGGCAGCAGUGAGGAAUAUUGGGUCAAUGGACGGGAGUCUGAACCAGCCAAGUAGCGUGCAGGACGACGGCCCCUAUGGGGUUGUAAACUGCUUUUAUAGGGGGAUAAAGCGGGCCACGUGUGGCCCCUUGGCAGGUACCGCAUGAAU
rnacentral:rRNA from 1 species